UCUUAAAUCUAAAAAGAGCCUCUCACCUGAGGCCUUCACCUGAGAGCUGGAGCCUGUGCGAUGGAUUAUCUGGACAGGGACCCCAAUGAACAGUGUGGGUGGUGUCAGGGGAGCCUGGAUGGAGCCCCAGGACAGCCUGCUGAGGGUGGAAGCCUGGAUGGCAGAUGCUCAGGUCUGACUGCUGGGCUGCAGGGAAGAAAGAAAUGCCAAGCUGAACUCGCAGGGCUCUGCUGGAGUGAGGAAGCUGACUGAGGGAAGAACCAGAAGGCUGCCAAAAGACAAUUGUGUGCCUUUAAAGGAAAUAACAACAAGAAUUAGGAGCGCCCUGGAGGCAACACAUAUCAACGUAACUUAUAUUCAUACAGAAAUGAAGACUUGCUAAAGCAACAUUCUUGAAAAGAUGUCUGGGGAUGUUGCACUGCUAAACCUACCUGUCCCUGAGUAACUAUAUUGUGUCCCAGAGUUCCCUCUGAUUGAAUUCCACUGACUCAGAGUGGCAAUUGUUUUGAUAACAUACCCUUGAUCGGCUUCCUUCCUUUUCUCACUUUCCUUUUGCACUGGUGUCUCCUGUGAUCACUUCCAAAAUAAACUACUUACACUCAAUUCUUGUCCUCAGGUCUGCUGCUGGGGAAACCAAACCACAGUAACUUCAGAAAUAUAUACUUGGAAUAUGUCAUGUAUUAAUGGGUAAAGACACCGUGGAUAUGAAGGAAAUCACCUAUGGGAGAAUAUUAAGAAGAGAAGAAGGGGCUGCUGGCUGUAGUGAAAUGUAUAAAAAGGAGAGUGUGAUCCUAGUUUCUGUCUCUAACUAUGAGUUACUUGUGAUUAACUUCAAAUAUUCUCUCCAUAAGAAGAGGCCCAGAAGAAGAAGAUGAGCUUCAGUUAUUCUAGCACAACUGCUGUGAUAUUUGUAAAUAUUCAAAACCUAUAAUAAAAUGUAUAAAAGGAAACUCCAUUUGAAAUGAUUUGAAAUCUCACAUGGAAAUCUAUUUUUUUUAAAUCAGAGCUUAGUAAGAGAAAAUAGUUUCAGAAGCUGGGAAGUUUAAGAUCAAGGCGCCAGCAGAUUUGGUGUCUGAUGCUCUCCACACCAGUCCAUGGCUGCCGUGGUGUCAAUGAUUCAGGACUGUUUUUUUAAUCUCUUCAAUUCCUCUUCCAGAGACAUGAAGUUAAAACCAGGAAAAAUCAAGACAGAACAACACAUCCUGUGGUGUCUGGACAGAGCUGACCCUGUGCAACACAGACCUCAAUGGACCCUGAUAUCUUCUUGGUUAGUUCCAUGACUUGACUAAAUGGGGGCUUGGCUAUCUUGACAGAGUCUCAUUCCAGCCCUGUUCACAUGCUCGGUGGUUGUGGAAAUACAGACUCCAAGUCAUUCAACACUUUUAGCACCUUCCUGAGACCAUUUACUCUCGAAAAUGGAGUCUACCUGCUUCCACCUGAGAGCUAAAGAACCUUCUCUUUGAUCAAGCUGAGUUCCAGAGUUCCAAGUUUCCCAGGAUUCAGAGAUCCCUGGCCCAGCUGUGAUAUGCAGUCUCAAAACACAAAACAUCUGGAGAGAUGAUAUGAACAGUUCAUCUUUCCCUAUUUAUAUUUGAAGGCUAAGGCAAUGUUUAUGGAAUAAAGAAUUUGUUUAAAUGAAUGUCUGAACAUUAUGAAUUCCUUGUUAUACUUUAUCUGGCUUCACAAUUGAUGUAGUGAACCAAGAUCUCUCUAUACAUAUACUCACAUGCAUACACAUACACAUAGGCUUAUAGUCAUAAAGCUAUAUAGUCAUAUAUACAUGUAUCUAUAUAUCAAAAAAGAGAUUGUUAUUUUUCUUUAUGUACCUAGGGAAAUCCCUGAACCUAUUAAGGCCACUAUAUUCAUUUCUCUAAAGUCUAAAAGCAGACUGGAAGGAUGGAAUAUGAGUAUAACACGAAAGUAAUAUUUUUCACAAAGUCAUGGCUAUUAAGAACCUUAUAGUCUUUGAGUGGAGUGUAUAAUUUGAAAUUAAAGUUUCAUAACUGAGUAUCCUUCUUUUUAGAAGAAAAAUGUUCUCAUAAAUCUGUUACCCAAAAUGCUUUUGAAAGAAAAUUUACCAUUUUCUUCAACUUUAAAAUCAUACUUGCAAGGGAAGCUCUGUGCAGAGAUGUUUGGCAUAAAUAUGAAUGACAAUAUAUAAAAACUAUUACCACACUACUAAAAAAUGUUGGGCAGCUUUGACCUGGUUAUUUGAUUGAACUUUCUGAAUCUGAUUUGUCAACUGAAGACAAGUAAAAGUUUUUUUACAAAUUCUAUCCUUAGCCUCUCAAUUAAUCUCAAAUAUUUGUUCAGAGAAAUAAUUGAAAAUUCUGACUGUAUCCUGACUGAAAUGUGGAUCACUGGGGGCCUCAAAGCUUCAGUGUGUUUAGUUCCCUAUGGUUUUGAGGCACAUGCCCUAUGUGAACCUUUUGAAGGACAGAAAAAUUCAUAACUGACUAGCAAUUGGUUAACUUUAGUUAAAAAGUGAAACACCUACUCUAGUGGUGCAAAAGAUGUCUGCAAAGGGCAAAAUCUUCAGCUUUGAAAGGCAUUCAGCAAUGUCAAUAGACUAGCACUUGAGAGUCACCUAAAAUUUAUUUGUAUUACUUUUCACCCAAUUUUAAAGAAGAAUAUUUCUAAGAUAAAAGCUUAAAACUUUUUAAUUAAAAAAAAAAAACUAAACUCAGUACUCCUAAGCCUUCAUAGAUAUAUACUUCAGUAUCUUGCAUGACAUUGAAAGCUCUAAUAACCAAAUUCUUUCCUGACUCCUAAUUAUGUGUCCUUGUUCUUCUGUUUAAAGUAACAUUUUGUGUCUAUUUGUGUAUAUGCAUGUGUACACAUUUGUGUGAGUUCACAAAUGAUUACUCUGAUGAAUGUUAAUUUAUAUCAAUCUAACCAAAAUAAAAUUAGAGAAAUCU
rnacentral:lncRNA from 10 species